rnacentral:sRNA from 1 species
UUAUGAGAGAAAUAGAUUGAUCACUCUCAUGGGCAAUAGAGAUCCCCACUGGAGGCCAACUCCGACUUCUCUCCUUCGCUGUCUUUCGUGAUUCAGCUCUAAUUCUAGUCCUCUUUAAGGGAGAAGAAGCUUUUCCAGAAGCACCAGGCCCCUGACUCUUCACCACUUUCGACCCAUUAGUCUCGAUAGCAAGAGACGUGGAGGUCACUGCGACCACAGAGCCUGCUGGAAUCAACCCCUUGACCACACCGCCUUGAGCUUUCCUCAUAAGAGGCUUCGGACACCGAUUUAGCAAAUGUCCAAACCGCCCGCAAUUGCAACACUUAGGUGGCAGUCUUGGGUAAGACACACGCACUUUCACAGAGUUCAAUAAAGCGUCUCUCACAAAGAUGGUCGUCGGAGGAGGAGCAUCCAGCGAUAUCUCCACUUUCACCUUCGUAUUUCCAAAGUAAUAAGGAUCCAGCUUAGAUUUUUCAGUAUGAAGCGGUUCCCCGAUAGCACUUGCUAUGACACUGAUUCCAUCAAGAGAAUACAUUUGAGGUGGAAUAUUUUCCAAGAUAGCCCAUGUCGGAGCCGUCUCCAACUCUGGCAAAAACAAUGAAGCAUCUGUCGACCAAGGAUAAACUGAGAAAGAAACAUUUCCUGCUUGCCAAUACCCAACCUGUAACACCCAUUCCCUAGUCGAGGUGCACGGUAUCAUAAUCAGACAAGAAGUAUCUGAGACUGCUCUAAUAACAAUAUUCCCGAAUUUUCCCCAGGCUGGAUUCAAAUCUGAGAAAAUUUUGGAGGAAGGUGGAAUGAGACCGUGAAACUUCGCAACUAUAUGACCUUUCCAUUGAUCUGCUGCUUUCAAUAACACUGAGGCUGGGGCUUGAACUACUGGAGUACCAUCUUCUAGGCACACCGGAGAGGAUAUUUUUUUCAGAUUCCUUAAAGAAGCCUUGAACCGCUCUGCGUAAGAAGGCGCUGCGGUAGAAGGAAUAUUCGCUGGGAUCGAAGACUGAGGCGAAGAUAACUGACACCUCGGCACUGAGAUGAGAGGCGGCACAACAGGAGAAACAACCACCACCACAACCGACGGAGCUGGAAGAGCUGGUUCACAAGGCUCAGGAGCUAAAGGCGACGCAUCCAAAGAAGCAGCAACCGCCAAAGGAAGCGGAUCUGAAGGAAGAGCUACCCGAAGAACAGGACUGAGAGACGGCUCAGCUAAAGGUUCAACAACCACCAAAUCAGGCGGAUCUGGGGAAGAACGAGCAGAGGAUCUACAAUCUUCAUCUUGGCAGAAAGGAAAAAGGGGGGAGAAAGGAGAAUUUCUCAGAUAUAAACGUAUUUUUUUUUUCCUCUGUGCCAUAUUUUCUAAUUCAAUAUUCUAAUUCAUUCAUUUAAUUACUACGAAUUUUUAUAAAGUUUCUAUGGUCCCUAAGAUGUGAUCGUUUAUCUGCUUUUUGUUCCUAAAAAUUCAUUCUCCUCUAA